GAUCAACGCUGGCGGCGCACAUAAGACAUGCAAGUUGAACGGACUUAAUCGAAAUAUUUAUAUUUUGAAGCGGUUAGUGGCGGACUGGUGAGUAACGCGUAAGGAACCUGCCUAUUAGAGGGGAAUAACAGUGAGAAAUCAUUGCUAAUACCGCAUAUGCCAUAGAUAUCACAUGAUAACAGUGGGAAAGGAGCAAUCCGCUAAUAGAUGGCCUUGCGUCUGAUUAGAUAGUUGGUGGGGUAACGGCCUACCAAGUCGACGAUCAGUAGCCGGACUGAGAGGUUGAACGGCCACAUUGGGACUGAGAUACGGCCCAGACUCCUACGGGAGGCAGCAGUCGGGAAUAUUGCGCAAUGGAGGAAACUCUGACGCAGUGACGCCGCGUAUAGGAAGAAGGUUUUCGGAUUGUAAACUAUUGUCGUUAGGGAAGAGAAAGGACAGUACCUAAGGAGGAAGCUCCGGCUAACUACGUG
rnacentral:rRNA from 1 species